CCACCAAGCCUUCGAUGGAUAGGGGUUCUGAGAGGAAGGUCCCCCACAUUGGAACUGAGACACGGUCCAAACUCCUACGGGAGGCAGCAGUGAGGAAUAUUGGUCAAUGGACGAGAGUCUGAACCAGCCAAGUAGCGUGAAGGAUGACUGCCCUAUGGGUUGUAAACUUCUUUUAUACGGGAAUAAAGUGAGGCACGUGUGCCUUUUUGUAUGUACCGUAUGAAUAAGGAUCGGCUAACUCC
rnacentral:rRNA from 1 species